AUCCCCGGAUUCGGCCCUGGCACGGAGUGGGCGCAGGGUUCCAGACCAGUAGCUAGAGGCCAUGGAUGGGGGCGGCCCCUAACUCUUCCCUUCUUCCGCCCUCACCCGCAGGGCCAUCUGGGGUCUCAGCUUUGCCCAGGAACUCGGAGGAGGGAAGCCGGGAACGUCGGGUCGGCGGAUCCGGGAGAACCUAAGUGACUUGUGCGAUUCCGUGGACCCUGGGGAGAAUGGUCCAUUCUGGGCAUACCUGGAGGCUCUGGCCAACAGUUCCCCCAGAAUUCUCCAGAUGCCUUCCUACAGGCCCUGCUGGAGAUGAUACAAACAACGGGAGGAAGAGAGGAGAGAUCCAAGAAUCAACACUCCUCCUGCUGCUCCAUCCAUCACUGCCCCUCACCUUCUGUGAAGGGCCCCAACACAAGCCCUGCUUCAUACCCUCUUCAAUCAGGACUCAAGUCACAGAAAGGUUACCUGAUUCUUUUAUUUAAGAAAAGUGAAAUACA
rnacentral:lncRNA from 1 species